AUCAAAAGAGGGAAACAGAAGCCAUUCAGCCUUGUAGGCUGCAUCGAGGUCCCCAAGAAAAAACAGGGUUUGACAUCCCUGAUCCGUAUGCGCGCUUUCGACCUGAACAAGCUGUCAUCGGACGCCCCAAUGACCUCGUCUGUGAUCUCACCGGCUCCACUUCUACCAUACCAGGCUUUGACACCUGGCAUUGGCUGUUCUUGAUUUAAGCAAUCAUCCAUGUUGGUUGAAGGCAGAGGACGAAAUAGCAUGAAGAUCUCGAGCUCGAGAUACAUACGAGGUUUAUGCAGAAUUCGGUUUAGGGCACCAAGACAACCGCUGCUAAGGCCCAACCAGUUUUUUCAGCUAUGCCAGGUCAAGGCAACCCUCAGAGCUCAGUUCUCCAACCUCCGACCAAACAAAUGC
rnacentral:sRNA from 1 species